rnacentral:lncRNA from 1 species
UUGGUUGUGCGUGUUUGUUGGGGAAGCGAGCGAUCAGCAGGCACAUGUUCAGACUACCAACCCGGGGAUGACCUUACAGACAAGAUGCAGGGCUGGGACCGUUACAGGCGCAGACCUUCAGGUAAAAGAGAGGCUGCACAUCACCUCCGAAUAAUUCUGAUUCCUGUGUGUCCUGAGAUGAGACGGUGGGAUGGAGCUUGCCUCUAGCCUAUUCCCCCUGCACCUGGAAGAUAGCCUACUUCUGUGUCUGCUUUUAAGAACUGCUGCCCACGCCAUCAGCAUACCUAAGAGGGUCCUGCACCUUUGCCAAGCAACCAAGUGAAAGAAGCCAUUGCCAAAGUCUGUAUGGAGCUCUGCAACCAGUAGCUCCGCUGCUCUGAUCAUGGGAGGGAGCUCACGAUGGGAACUGAACCACUCUCAACAUGUUGGAGACACAAUGGGCAGAUCCAAAGGUGCUAUGCUGCCAUUAACUGGAGGUCUUACCUUGGCCUGAUUACCCCAACUCAAGAGCCACAGCUAUCGACGCUCAUCAAGAAACUGUGUCCUCAUAAAAUGCUGGGGGACACAAAAUUCAAUGCUCAUUUGAAAAGUUAAAUAUAACUUACUGUAAGCCCUGCCAGUGACUUAUCUGAAUCGUCCCUAGCAUUUUUAUAUAUUAUGUUCAAAACUCAUGCGCAGUUUCCACAACAGGUGCAUAGAUAAACAAUUGUGUAUCUACAAGGAGUGAACCACCCUUGCUGUUGCCUGGAAGGAAGGAAACUUUUGGCAUAAAUAUUCACAAGUCCACCAUUAUGUUUCUCUAUGAACAAGUUACUGUGAAAACAUGGGAAGGAUUGAGACAUAAAUGAAGACUUCACAGCAAUGGGAAAAGAAGAGGCAAGGACAGGCAGAGGUCGCUGACACCAGGAAGGAGGGCUGGGGACAUGUCUUGGGACAUUUGCCCGAAAGCGUAGAGACCUGAGUUCUGAUCCCCACAGAAGGCCACACAUGGUACUCUGUGUCUGUAAUACUAGCAUUUCCACAGUGACCUGAGAGCCAGGAGAGCCCUUGUAAGCUCAUGGGACAGUUCCCCUGGUGGAGGCCAUGGUAAACAAGAGACUGUUUCAGACAGAAGAGGAGAUCAGGACCAACUUCUGAACUUGCUUGUUCUCUGACCUCACACAUGUGCUGUGAUGGUGCUUGUCUGUAACCCAGUGUCAGGAGAAUGACAACAAAAGUUCAUAGGAAAAUUACAUGACAAGCUCCCAUGAAGGAAUAGAAAACAGCAGGUUUGCAUUUUCUUUCCUUAUACUUAAAACAAUUGAAAAUUUGAAGCGUAACAUUAUUGGCCAAAAUAUAAAAGGUUACAAAUAUCACAGAUCAUCUGUGUGAACUGACAUAAAGACAUUAAAAAGAAGUGGAACUACAUCCUAGUAUAACUAAAGAAACUUGCAUGUUCUGUCACUUGAAAUGUCACCUAUAGUUUUACACACCAGAGAGCUUCACACAAAUAUACUGAAACACUGAAGCUUUGUUUAUAGGUAAAACAGAAAUAAUCCAAAUGUCCAACACAGAGAACAUGCAUAUGAGGUGUGAAACUCUCAUGAUAGAAUAUUCCACAUCAACUGAGUUAAGUGAAUCCAAAUAGAGGUCUUUUAAAAGUACAACUUGGUUCUGAAAAUAUGGCUCAGUGGGUAGAGGGGCUUGCUGCCAAGUCUGACGAUUUAAGUUCAAUCCCCAAAGCCCACAGGGUAGAAGGAAAAAACUGAUUUCUCUUAAGUUUUCCUCUGAACUUCACAUGUAUGCCAUAGCAUGCACACAUAAGUGUGGCCACACAUUAAAAAUAAAUCAAUACAUUCAUG